AUACGAAGGGGGCGAGCGUUGUUCGGAAUUACUGGGCGUAAAGCGUACGUAGGCGGCCUGAUAAGUUGGGGGUGAAAUCCCAGGGCUUAACCCUGGAACUGCCUUCAAUACUGUCAGUCUUGAGAUUGGAAGAGGUGAGUGGAAUUCCUAGUGUAGAGGUGAAAUUCAUAGAUAUUAGGAGGAACACCAGUGGCGAAGGCGGCUCACUGGUCCAAUACUGACGCUGAGGUACGAAAGCGUGGGGAGCAAACAGGAUUAGAAACCCUAGUAGUCC
rnacentral:rRNA from 1 species